UCGACAUUCGAUUUCUGAAAUCUACAAGCCAUACCUGCAACAGAUGACAGAACGUGGGUCUGAAAGUCAGGGAAAUAACCGACCUAGUAGUCCUACUUGGUGAGAAGUGAGAGAAUAUGCAUUAUCCACCGUCGAAUGUCAAAGCAUGGUAUAAGAGUCUCUGACUUGAAUAAUUCCACUGACAUCGCAACAUUGGAUGCUGGGUGAUUACAGGGAUCCCAGGAUCUCAUCCAAAUUCUGGGUUCAGAAUGAUGCAAGGACAUCUCCGGUUCCGACGUACAAAGGUUCAAAGACUUCGUGUGCAAGAAUCCAUGCCACGUCUGGAUCCACCGGGAAUUGUCCGCACACUACAACUACAAACUGUUCGCCGUAGAAGAUAUUCUGUGCCAGCCCCCAACAGUCAAAGGCAUAGCUAUGGCAACCAUAAAGUCAUAAAUUAAAGCUCUAUAUUGGGUGACUCGGAAGGAAGUACAAAAAUAAAUUAAGACCAUAUUUUUUUCACCCAUUUUGGAAAGAUAAACCCAUAUACAGUAUAAUAUAGACCAUUUUAAAUUAAGUUUAAAUAUUUCAUGCUUUUAAUAUUUAUUACGCGCUAGGAAUCUAAUUCAUUUAGAUUUGGAGCGCUUUCGCUGCCAGCCUCUCCCAGUCAAAAUGGAUUGGGUGUCAAGCGCUGUCAAUGGCAGCCAAUGAGUUAAAUGUUGAUGUUUAUGGCUUGCAAAAAUAAGAAACCCUAAAAUUUAAUGUCUCAGAAUUAAGAAAAAAAAAAUUCUGGGCCCUGCAACACAUUGUCUGUUAUUGCAAAAAUGUUGGUAUAGUUUUAGUUGCCACUUCUGGGAGAUGAUUGGAUGAAAUUUUACCCAUCAAAAUCAAAUUAUGAGGUUUGGCACGCCCACUUUGGUUGUUGGCUCUUUGAAAAUGGCUUAACAAGUUCAACUUCAAAAGGGAUAAUGUAAAGUGCACAUUUCUAAUCAAUAACAUAACAUUAAAAAAACAAUAAAAGCAUGAAAUAUCCCUGACCAAAAAAGUUAAAUAAAAUUAUAUACAGUGCUGCUCGAAAGUUUGUGAACCCCACAGCGAUGGUCAGAUUUUUUGUAAAAAAAACUAAAAUAACCUUAUUAAAUGUUAAGUUAUACCCAAAUCCACAAUACUGACAUUCCAAAUAAUGGACUGAAACAAAAGAAAUAGUUAUAUUGUCAUUCUUUAUAUAACAAAAGUGGUUGAUUUAAGAAAAACUCAGAUAUCAUGUGUGCAAAAGUAUGUGAACCCCUUCAGUUAAUAGGAUAUUGCGCCUCCUUUUGCAGAGAUUACCUCAACCAAACGGUUUCUGUAGUGACUAAUCAGCCUCUCACAUCUACUUUGGGGGAUUUUUGCCCAUUCUUCCUUGCAGAACGCAGUCAGUUGAGAGAGGUUUGAUGGGCGUCUGGCAUGAACUGCUCGCUUCAGGUCCCGCCACAGCAUUUCAAUGGGAUUAAGGUCAGGACUUUGACUGGGCCAGUCCAGAACACGAAUCUUCUUCUUUUUCAGCCAUUCCUUGGUUGUAUUGCUGGAAUGCUUUGGAUCAUUAUCAUGUUGCAUGAUCCACCUUCUGCCAAGCUUUAACUUCAAAACAGAUGGCGUCAGGUUAUGUUCUAGGAUUUGACAAUAUUCCUCAGAAUUCAUGAUUCCCUGAACUAUGUGGAGUUGUCCAGGUCCUGAGGAUGAAAAGCAAGCCCAGAUCUUGACAUUCCCACCUCCAUGCUUCACUGUUGGGAGAAGGUUCUUUUGGUGGUAUGCAGUGUUGACUUUUCGCCAGACAUGGCGGUUUUGGUUGUGACCAAACAGUUCAAUUUUGCACCUACAUCAGUUGAUGAAAACUCUUUUUAAUUUAGUCUCGACAACACAACUGUUAAAAAAACAAAACAAAAAAACUACUGAAUUGAUUGAUUAGGAAAUCAGGUUGAAAUAAUAGAAAAUUCCAAAAUGUUGAGGGGGUUCACAAACUUUUGAGCAGCACUGUAAAUACCAACACUUUCACAGUCUAGGGCUAGGCACAUACAGAUGAGGCUAAUCAAUAACUAAAUUUGCCAUAUACGAUGUGUGCAUGUUUAGUUAUAUUUUAGGACUAGUUGGUUCAACUUUAAAUUACAUAUUUGGAGUUUUAUGUGAUGGUCCACAUGGUCAUCACCCCCAUGUCGGUGUCAGUCCCUGAAGUGCAGCUGCGACAGGCCUCGACUCCUGAAGAAAUUCAGCAGAUGUCAGAAUGUUCUAAUGUAUUGAAUGUCUACAGCGAGACUAUCCAUCCUGCGUCAAAUAUUUGGACUUGUUUUAAAUGACAGCAUAGAAUGUUGGUUGUGGUUGAUGUGACAGUACCUCAGUAAUGUGAAGAAAUAAUAAAGGCAAUGAUUGUUUUUCUGCAAAGUAAUAUUUUAUUGAUGACCAGUGUAAUACAAUACAAAUUAUAAACAGGCAAUUGAUGUACAAAAAAGGACUUCCAGCACAACUAAC